rnacentral:rRNA from 1 species
GACGUAGGGCGCGAGCGUUGUCCGGAUUUAUUGGGCGUAAAGAGCUCGUAGGCGGCUUGUCACGUCGGGUGUGAAAGCCCGGGGCUUAACCCCGGGUCUGCAUUCGAUACGGGCAGGCUAGAGUGCGGUAGGGGAGAUUGGAAUUCCUGGUGUAGCGGUGGAAUGCGCAGAUAUCAGGAGGAACACCAAUGGCGAAGGCAGAUCUCUGGGCCGUAACUGACGCUGAGGAGCGAAAGCAUGGGGAGCGAACAGG